UUUCCCAUUCCUUGCGAGUUUCCUUGACAAGGUCUUCUAAGGUUCCGAUCACGGCGGCCUCUAAUCUGACUGAGCUAAACUGUCACCCUUCUAAGAUUCCGAGGUUGCACGAAGCUUGGAAAGAAUCGAAAUCGUUUUCGAGCCAGCGCGAGGUCCCGUAUGGAGAUGGGGAAGAUGAAGAGUAUCUACGACUGUACGUACCGUUUCAUUAUCAGUUCAAGAAAAUCCAGCUAUCCGGUACUUUUCCGGAAUUUUCAGCGGGCUGUUCCAAACCAAAACUCCCUUAUUACUGACAAUUCACCAAAGUCCACAGUAAACUCUUCCAAAUAAGCACCGCGAAGAAUAAUUGUAGAUCAAGGAAAGCUAUGUAAGGCUUUUUUUUCUGAUUCUGGUCCACGACGGAGUUCGAGACUUUCUGCUGAUUCAUGGGCAAACACUAAUGCAAGUGUUGCAACAGUAAGCGAAAUGGGAACAACGCUAGGGGUUCUAAAUUGAGUUCUUUGGCACUUCGUUCUGUAACACUUGGGAAGGGACAUUCCUGGGCAAAUGAAAAUAUAGAUGAAGGUUGUGACAUUUCAUGCACUAUAUCAUCUUAUUGCUUCAAAAUUGGGUUGCUGUGAUUUUUGUUCAUCAUUCCUUUUUUUUAUUGUUUGUGUCUAUGUAACAACAUAAGCGUUGUCAUUCUGAUUGGUUUAGGAGUUCGUGGGGAAUCUUUUGAUGAUUCAAGGCCUAAUACUGCCUCAACGACUGGUUCUAUGGCUUCCAGUGAUGCUAAAUCCUGUGAUCAAGAAGACGAAACAAUGUCAAUUGGUGGCACAACGUUAUGUGCACAAAAAAUCACAGUUGGUGUUUCAGAAUUAGUUAGCCUCCUUAGGACACUUGGGGAACUGUGUAGACUUUUGUACAUGUACAGGUGUAAGGAGGCACUGGAUACGUAUAUGAAACUUCCACAUAGGCAUUAUAAUACAGGAUGGGUUCUUUCCCAGGUAGUAAGUGACCCUUCUCUCUUUUAUGCUGUCUUGUUCAGUUUGGUGGUUGUGUAUAGACUUUUCAAAACGACGAACUUGAAGUGAAGUUUCCACAGAGAAUCUGUGCAUGAAAUUUUAAUCUGGUUGCCUGUGAUACACAUUGUUUAAGGCAUUUUUAUGGUUUAUGUACGAGCAAUGGCUAUUAAUGCAGGUUGGGAAAGCAUACUUUGAAUUAAUAGAUUAUUUAGAAGCUGAAAAAGCAUUCUCACUAGCUCGCCAGGCUUCUCCUUACAGCUUAGAGGGAAUGGAUAUAUACUCUACAGUCCUCUACCAUUUGAAGGAAGAUAUGAAGGCACCCUCACGGACCUUGCACCGGCCCGGUCUAGAUUAACCAGCUGCAGCAAGAAACAAUCUUGCACCGUUUGUAAUUAAUUUACAGUGCUACUUCGACAGGUGGCUUUUAUACGAAAUCUUUGUGUGCCUUGUAGCUUUCCUUUCUUUGGUUCUUUGGAUCAGCAAAGAAUUAACACCUCAAAGGCAGUUGAAUGAAGACGCUGUGUUAGUUGUUGAACAACUGAUGGUUCUGGUGCAGUAUACUACUGUUAUUUUUCAUGAUGUCACUCAGACAUCUCAGAAUUAUGUGUUCAAUAUCUCUUUGGGUUUAGAAACUAUACCAAGAACUCCAAGUAUUAGAUCGAUUGGAGAAAGACUAAGCAAAAGCGCCGAGAAGAAGAGAACUCAGCUGAGCAGCAGUAAAGGUAAUCUAUCGAAAGAUGGACUGAUUGUAGUAAUAGUAUUAGCUAGACACUUUGUAAUGUCUUUAGAAACUGUUGGGAGAGAAUGAACUUACUUACGUAAAGAGCUGUUCAAAUAUAUAAUCUUGGAUGGUAAUGUUCUGAGCGUAUGUCAUUUUUGAAUACAUGUUGCCUC